rnacentral:rRNA from 1 species
GAGUUUGAUCAUGGCUCAGAUUGAACGCUAGCGGGAUGCCUUACACAUGCAAGUCGAACGGCAGCACGGACUUCGGUCUGGUGGCGAGUGGCGAACGGGUGAGUAAUGUAUCGGAACGUGCCUAGUAGCGGGGGGAUAACUACGCGAAAGCGUAGCUAAUACCGCAUACGCCCUACGGGGAAAGCAGGGGAUCGCAAGACCUUGCACUAUUAGAGCGGCCGAUAUCGGAUUAGCUAGUUGGUGGGGUAACGGCUCACCAAGGCGACGAUCCGUAGCUGGUUUGAGAGGACGACCAGCCACACUGGGACUGAGACACGGCCCAGACUCCUACGGGAGGCAGCAGUGGGGAAUUUUGGACAAUGGGGGAAACCCUGAUCCAGCCAUCCCGCGUGUGCGAUGAAGGCCUCGG